CUACUUUGACUCGGCUCGUACCUGGCCACCAAGGAAGUUGCUAGUGAAUAACCUAUUGAAUAGUGUUAUGAAGAAGUUGAAUUGUCGUUCGGUUGCGGGUCCCACGUGGAAAUAUGCGAAGUGUGCGCAACAAGACAACGGCGUUGACUGUGCCCUCUACGUGAUGAGGUUUAUGAAUGACAUAGUCAAUAGGUGCACUGAAGCCC